rnacentral:rRNA from 1 species
AUUGAACGCUGGCGGCAGGCCUAACACAUGCAAGUCGAGCGGGGUUUUCGGACCUAGCGGCGGACGGGUGAGUAAUGCGUAGGAAGCUGCCCGAUAGAGGGGGAUACCAGUUGGAAACGACUGUUAAUACCGCAUAAUGUCUACGGACCAAAGUGUGGGACCUUCGGGCCACAUGCUAUCGGAUGCGCCUACGUGGGAUUAGCUAGUUGGUGAGGUAAUGGCUCACCAAGGCGACGAUCUCUAGCUGGUUUGAGAGGAUGAUCAGCCACACUGGAACUGAGACACGGUCCAGACUCCUACGGGAGGCAGCAGUGGGGAAUAUUGGACAAUGGGCGCAAGCCUGAUCCAGCCAUGCCGCGUGUGUGAAGAAGGCCUUCGGGUUGUAAAGCACUUUCAGCGAGGAGGAAGGGGUGUGUGUUAAUAGUACACACCUUUGACGUUACUCGCAGAAGAAGCACCGGCUAACUCUGUGCCAGCAGCCGCCGUAACAC